GUGGUUAGAGCAAUUUUUUUCUACGCAUCGUUAAAAAAUUUUUGUCAAAAAUCGAACGGUACCAAAACCAAAGAAAUCGGACGUUUUGUUGGAAAGUUAUGAUUUUCUUUUUCUUUUUUGGUACUUAGAUUUUACGUAUUUUCUGAAUUUUUUGAAAUUGAGUUUUUGUUCAAUCUUUUUGAAAUUUGAGUGCUGACUUAUAAAUGCCAUGACGAGUUAUAAAGGUUCUAUGGUCAAAAUGCCUAGGAUCAUUAUUUACCCCGUAAUCGGGGUGCGAAAAUAGUUGAAAAUUGAAUCACUUGUUUUUUUGUAUACACAUACGUUUCUUUGUGGUAUACCCCCGUAUAUCGAUUUAACGAAUUAUAUUUUUGAACUUUUUACUCGUUUUAGGUUUGUUCGCGUUUCAACGUUUGGCAAUUACGCCAUCAGCAUAAAAAAUAAUUUAUUUAGAAGUAAUUUUUCAUCAAAUCACAUCGAUAAUACAUUUAUUUAAUGUUUAUACCCCUCGUUUAUAUAAGCAAUUUCGUUGUAUAUAUGAGAUACGACCAUCAUUUUUAAAAUGUACGACGCAGUCAGUCGAUCACUCGAUCGUAAGCCAUACAAUUUUUAAUAAGUCGUUUUACUCUAACACUAUAUUUUAUGAUCCUUCAUUAAGUAAAACUUAAUUAACUAUUCAGUAUUCGACUCGCAAUCAAUAAAUUAAAUUCAUCAACCAAAAUUGUGUUGAUAUUUGAUUUUCAUUCCUUAAGAAGAACCGACUAGGUACCAAACAAUAAAUUAAACAACCGUACAAGAUCUGACUGGAACGGGAUAUAACAGUGUUAUAUAUCAACUAGGUACCUAGGUAUCAAUAAUUGUUCAUAUAACUGAUGAACUUUGAAUUUCAAUCAUCAAAAUUAACGAUAUAUACUCCUAAAAAAUGCUUAUAAUUAAAUGUAUAUUGUUGUGAAUGUAUAAUAAUAAUAUGACAAGUCUCAAAAUGUAUUAACGCUGAACAAUAGGUAUAGUAAAUUACAAAAUGACAAGUGUAAUAUUAUGUUUUCUAUUCAAAAAUUUGUCAUUGUUCGUUUGUAGAUGAGGUUAAUCCCACAUAGAAGAAUGAUAAAUGGUGAAAUCUAAAGUUUAUCGAUAGAGAAUUUUAUGCAGAUUCCAUUUAAAUGGUCAGUGUAAUGAAUUUUUCAGUAGUUAAAUAGAUAACUUUCAAAAAGCAUAAAAAAGCCAAAAAACAAUACAAAAUUAGCUUUAUCAAUAUUAUCAUAUAUUAUACAUUAAGAUAAUGAAUUAUUAAUUAGUAUAACCAUGGUUUUAGUUUUAUAAGGUUACCACUUCGAAUGUCUGAUAAACAAUUGCGGUUAUGUUCAAUUUUUACGUAAAUAAUAAUUAUACGUUAAUUUGAUAAUUUGUAUUUUUUUAAUUUUACUUUUUAGUAUUUACGUUCUAAGUAAUUAGUUUUUGUAUAAUUAAAUAAUAUGUUCUUUACCCUGUAGAUUAUACAAAUUACAGAUUUAAACAGUUCUCUUUAGAUGUGGUCUUCAUCAGUCAUUCUUAUAGUCAUUGGAAACAACCGGUACAAUGUAUCGAUAAAUAAUUGAAACCAUUGCAAAAAACAAGUUAAAUUCAUGCUAUCUACAACAUUCAUAUUCAAAUCUUCAUAACUUAAAUCAUUUAGCAAGAUACACUAACUGAAGUAUACAUGUAUCCAGGCCAAUAAGGAGAUUAUUCUGUUUGGAAAAACAUCUGAAAAAACUGUUCCUACUAACAUAAUUGUUUAUCCGGUAAGGUAGAAGAGUUCAUAUUAUCUGAAUUACUAUAGUGUGUCACUUUACUAUUAUAAAAGUUAUUUUAUGAAUACUAUCUAUAUUUUAUUAGUCUGUAUAUUACAGCCAUAGCAACACAGGGGAUCAAUGCAAUUUGAUACUGCUAUUAAUUAUGUUCAUAAUUAUUUAAGUUUUAAUUUAACCCAAAACAAUAUUUUUAGAUAUUUAUAGGCAUUGUUACACAUACAAAAUAAGAGAUUUAAAUAAUACAUUCAAUUUUAUAAUAUUCUACUCUUUCUUAUAGAGGAAAGAAAUAAUAUAAAUUUUUAUGUUUAAUCAAUAUACAUAAUACAUUGUCAAAAUGCAUUUAAUGUAUACUUAAAAUCAGUAUUGUAUUAAUUGCUAUCUGGUUAACUGUCUGCUAUUUUAGUGUUCCUGUUUACUUAUUUUUCAUUUUUAUCACAAUAGUUUAAACAUUUUAAAUAACCAGAUAUUCUAUAAUAUUGUUAUCAUAAUUAACAAAUAAAAAUACUACAUUGGUGAUGGUUAUUUUACAUUUAUAAUCAAAAAAUGUAUGCUUAUGGUUUUAUUUAUAUGAUUUU